GAGCAACUCGUGCCAGCCAGUCGUGUCUCAGCCUGGAGAGUGCGCGCACCGCCGCCCGGGCAGCCGCUGGCUCCAGCUCACGAAACAGCCCCGGGCGCCGCGCCGCUCCGAGUCCAGCCUCCUACUGAGAACAGUCCCUCCCUCGUGCGGGUCUCACGGCUAGCCGCAGGUUCGGCCACGUCAAAUCCAUUUUCUAAAAAAGCAGGGAGCAGAGCUCUCUCUUCGCCGCCGACGCAGAAAGGAGCUGGGGAGGAAAAAGCUGCUGCCUUUUGCGCUGGAGAUUCGUGGGCAAGGCUUCUCAUUUUCCCAGGCUGCUUCCCCUCCCGGGUGAGGAGCGUCCUGAGACUAAGGAAAGAGCCUGGAAAAUGGAGCAGACCUGGACGAGGAUGAAGACUUAGUGCUGGACCAAAAACAAAACAAAACAAAGAUCCCGAAACUUAAAGAAAUUGUUGUGGAUGCACGAUGAUUUUGUAGCUCACUGUAGCUAUUGGGGACUUAGCACUCCAGAAAACAGCCUCUCAGAGUGAUGGUCACUGUCAGUGAAUAGACUUUGAGUGAAGGGUGUAAUUGCAGCCUAUACUGGAAUAAAGUGGAUGUUUCUGUAUCGGUGCCAAGUCGGCCCACACUUAGUCAGCAUGCAGAAGGAGGCUCACCGUGAUGCUCUCUCUCCUCUGGGAGCUUUGCCAAUUAAGCAUCCUCACUUGCAGAGGUUAUAAUGACAGAUCUUGAGAUGAGAAAAAAUGAUAAUUUCACUGUAUUAUAUAAUAGUCUUAACGUUCUGCAUCUGGGGC
rnacentral:lncRNA from 1 species